AUAAAUCUUAGAGAUUAUAUAAUUAAAAUUAAAUGGAAAAUGAGAGUUAAACUUAAGGAACCUUCCUUAGAUAAGAAAUGUUUAUUCACCUAAGAGACGGACCGGUGUCGUUCACAGAAUGGGGCUUGGUAAAACACGAGGAAGGAAAAAAAUUGUUUCGCGUUUUUCUCUCUCUCUUUUUUCUCUGUGACUGAGAAACCAAAGAGAAAUCUUCUCAGUCUCAAAUCUUCGUCUCCUCCGUUGAUUGUUUAAGUUGGUGAUCGGAGGAUGGCAUCUUCAUCAUCUCAACGGAUGGCGGCUCUUCUCAAUCCGAUUCGCUUCUCAGUUGAAUGCAGAGAUUGGAGAAUUUGAUGAAGCCUUUGCAAUUUGCAAGGGAUUAACCUUUUUUCCAAGAGGUAGAAGUAAACAUUGAAGAACUGAAUUUGGCACUAAAUAAUGAGCAGAUGGAUAAAGAGAUUUCCAAAGCAAAGUUUGACCUUGUGCAAACUGUCCAAGAAAAUGCAAACGUUCGUCACAAAUUGUUCAAUCCCUGGGAGCUUUAGAAG